GAGGCAGCAGUGGGGAAUAUUGCACAAUGGGCGCAAGCCUGAUGCAGCCAUGCCGCGUGUAUGAAGAAGGCCUUCGGGUUGUAAAGUACUUUCAGCGGGGAGGAAGGCGAUAAGGUUAAUAACCUUGCCGAUUGACGUUACCCGCAGAAGAAGCACCGGCUAACUCCGUGCCAGCAGCCGCGGUAAUACGGAGGGUGCAAGCGUUAAUCGGAAUUACUGGGCGUAAAGCGCACGCAGGCGGUCUGUCAAGUCGGA
rnacentral:rRNA from 1 species